rnacentral:rRNA from 1 species
GUGAACGCUGGCGGCGUGCCUAAUACAUGCAAGUCGAACGACCCGCUUCAAUAGCGGGAGUGGCAAACGGGUGAGUAAUACGUAGGAACCUGCCCUUAAGAGGGGGAUAGCUCGUCGAAAGACGGAUUAAUACCCCAUAAUUUCCGCUUUGCGGAUAAAGGAGCAAUCCGCUUAAGGAGGGGCCUGCGUCCGAUUAGCUUGUUGGCAGGGUAACGGCCUACCAAGGCGAUGAUCGGUAGCUGUCUGAGAGGACGACCAGCCACACUGGGACUGAGACACGGCCCAGACUCCUACGGAGGCAGCAGUAGGGAAUUUUCCACAAUGGGCGGAAGCCUGAUGGAGCGACGCCGCGUGCAGGAUGAAGGCCUUCGGUCGUAAACUGCUUUUAACAGGGAAGAUUAUGACGGUACCUGUUGAAUAAGGAUUUGCUAACUCCGUGCCAGCAGCCGCGGUCAUACGGAGGAUCCAAGCGUUACCCGGAAUUACUGGGCGUAAAGAGUUGCGUAGGCGGUUCGUUAAGUUUUUGUUUAAAGCCCGAGGCUCAACUUCGGAAUGUGCAAAAAAACUGGCGGACUAGAGGAUGACAGAGGCGAGUGGAAUUUUCAGUGUAGGAGUGAAAUCCGUAGAUACUGAAAGGAACACCGAUGGCGUAAGCAGCUCGCUGGGUCAUUCCUGACGCUAAGGCACGAAAGCGUGGGUAGCGAACCGGAUUAGAUACCCGGGUAGUCCACGCCGUAACGAUGGAUGCUAGCUGUUGGAGGUAUCGACCCCUUCGGUAGCGAAGCUAACGCGUUAAGCAUCCCGCCUGGGGAGUACGAGCGCAAGCUUAAAACUCAAAGGAAUUGACGGGGACCCGCACAAGCGGUGGAGCGUGUGGUUUAAUUGAUGGCACGCGAAGAACCUUACCAGGGCUUGACAUCCUCGGAAUCCCGUCGAAAGUCGGGAGUGCCCGCAAGGGAAUCGAGAGACAGGUGAUGCAUGGCCGUCGUCAGCUCGUGUCGUGAGAUGUAGGGUUAAGUCCCUCAACGAGGCGCAACCCUCGUCGCAAGUUAAAUUGUCUUGUGAGACUGGCCCCGGCAACGGGGAGGAAGGAGAGGAUGACGUCUGGUCCGCAUUUUCCCUUACGCUCUGGGCCACACACACGCUACAAUGGCCGGUACAAUGGGUUGCUAAGUCGCAAGACGGAGCUAAUCCUAUCAAAACCGGUCCCAGUUCGGAUUGCAGGCUGCAAACUCGCCUGCAUGAAGUCGGAAUCGCUAGUAACCGUAGGUCAGCACCACUACGGUGAAUAACGUUCCCGGGUCUUGUACACACCGCCCGUCAAAAGCACGAAAGUUGGCAAUACCUGAAGCUCGAUCUUGUAUCGGACCAAGGUAGGGCCAGCGAUUGGGCUU